GUGUGCUCCACUCAGUUGAGGUUGGUUUCUCAUUCGGCGUGGUCGCAUUCUGUUCUAUCCGCAGCGCGUCAUAGUCAGAGUACUCUAUUUCAUCCGCGUCAGUGGCAGAGUCUCUGUUGGUGUGUCAGUGUCAGUGUGUGGCAAAAGUCCCAGAAAAAAGCAGCCAAAAUUAGGCUUUUCAAAAAUGGAUAAGCGAAAUAUGAAAAUGUAUGUAAAUGCCGACGCAGCAAAUGAACGCAUUAAAAUGAAUCAUAAUUGAGAG